GAUGAACGCUGGCGGCGUGCUUAACACAUGCAAGUCGAACGGAAAGGCUCUGCUUUUGUGGGGUGCUCGAGUGGCGAACGGGUGAGUAACACGUGAGUAAUCUGCCCUGGACUUCGGGAUAACCCUAGGAAACUGGGGCUAAUACCGGAUAGGAGCUCAUGCUGCAUGGUGGGGUUUGGAAAGUUUCGGCGGUUGGGGAUGGACUCGCGGCUUAUCAGCUUGUUGGUGGGGUAGUGGCAUACCAAGGCUUUGACGGGUAGCCGGCCUGAGAGGGUGACCGGCCACAUUGGGACUGAGAUACGGCCCAGACUCCUACGGGAGGCAGCAGUGGGGAAUAUUGCACAAUGGGCGGAAGCCUGAUGCAGCAACGCCGCGUGCGGGAUGACGGCCUUCGGGUUGUAAACCGCUUUCGCCUGUGACGAAGCGUGAGUGACGGUAAUGGGAGAAGAAGCACCGGCUAACUACGUG
rnacentral:rRNA from 1 species